rnacentral:rRNA from 1 species
UUUUUAAAUUGCUGUGGUAUAUUGACUAUACGAAGGUAUUGAAAUAAGGCUUUAAAUGGGUGCUAAGAGAAUGGUUAAACAAUUAUAAGCUUUCUUUAAUUAAAUAAUUUGAAGUUAAUUUUUUUGUGAAGAAGCAAAAAUGUUAAUUAGGGACAAGAAGACCCUAUGAAUUUUAUUCUUUAAUAAUAAUAAAUUUGUUUUAUUAAAGAUUAAUUGGGGCGAUUAAUAAAGAAUGAAUAUCUUUUUUUUAUAAUUAAAUUGAUCCGUUUCUAACGAUUAUAUGAGAAAAAAUACUCUAGGGAUAACAGCGUAAUAAUUUUGGAUAGUUCAUAUAGAUAAAAUAGUUUGCGACCUCGAUGUUGGAUUAGGAUUCUUUUUUGGUGAAGAAAUUAAUAAGAAGAAGUUGUCA